rnacentral:rRNA from 1 species
GACGAACCGAGCGAACGUUGUUCGGAAUCACUGGGCUUAAAGGGCGCGUAGGCGGGUUCGCAAGUCUGUGGUGAAAUCCUCCGGCCCAACCGGAGAACUGCCUCGGAUACUGCGGGUCUCGAGGGUGAUAGGGGUAUGCGGAACUAUCGGUGGAGCGGUGAAAUGCGUUGAUAUCGAUAGGAACUCCAGUGGCGAAGGCGGCAUACUGGAUCACUUCUGACGCUGAGGCGCGAAAGCCAGGGGAGCAAACGGG